UCGGCUGUGCUACUCAACGAAAUGAUAGAGCACCAGACUACGAAUCUGGGGGUCAGGAGUUCGAAUCUCUUCGGGCGCGCCA
rnacentral:tRNA from 1 species